rnacentral:sRNA from 1 species
AGCAGCCGCGGUAAUUCCAGCUCCAAUAGCGUAUAUUAAAGUUGUUGCAGUUAAAAAGCUCGUAGUUGAAUUUCGGGGUCAGCAGGUUGGUCGUGCCAAUGGUAUGCACUGGCCUUGCUGAUUCCUCCCUCUUGAUGAGCCGUAAUGCCAUUAAUUUGGUGUUGCGGGGAAUCAGGACUGUUACUUUGAAAAAUUAGAGUGUUUAAAGCAGGCAAGCGCUUGAAUACAUUAGCAUGGAAUAAUGAAAUAGGACGUUCGAUCCUAUUUUGUUGGUUUCUAGGAUUGACGUAAUGAUUAAUAGGGAUAGUUGGGGGCAUUAGUAUUCAAUUGUCAGAGGUGAAAUUCUUGGAUUUUAUUGAAGACUAACUACUGCGAAAGCAUUUGCCAAGGAUGUUUUCAUUAAUCAAGAACGAAAGUUAGGGGAUCGAAGACGAUCAGAUACCGUCGUAGUCUUAACCAUAAACUAUGCCG